rnacentral:tRNA from 1 species
ACCUAGUUGGUUCAGUAGGUAGAGCAUGUGACUCUUGAUCUAGGAAUUGUGAGUUCAAGUCCCACGUUGGGCA